rnacentral:ncRNA from 1 species
AGGUACUCCCGAAUCUCGCCACGGAUGGCGACGAUAGGGAUAACGGCUGGAUGGCACAGCCAGCGGUCCGCCUGUUCGACCGUAGGGAGGGCGUUUUCGCUCCCCGAGAACAGGUCGUGGACCACGAACCAUAAUAUUCCAACUGCGGUCGGGAAACCCCGGCGUUCACGCCGGGGA